UCCACAUCCACAUCCACAUCCAGAUCCAUAUCCAGAUCCACAUCCAGAUCCACAUCCACAUCCACAUCCAGAUCCACAUCCAGAUCCACAUCCAGAUCCACAUCCAUCAAGUGUUCGUAACGUUACUACUAAUCAUCACUCUAUAAUUUAUCAUAGGGUUAUAAAUGUCAAAGCACUUUGAAAGUUUUAGGGAUCAGAACCCAGGUACCCCAUCCCUGUUGUCCAACCCUACCUGGGUACCCACUGUUGAUUUCCAAAAUUGGGUGCUGAAUGUAAGAUAGGGAAUUGUUUCACCAGAGCCGUUCCACAAAGUGAUCUUAGCACUACGAUGAUCAUAAGUAUGGGAAUUAUGAUCACCUUAGCACUAAGAUUGUUUUGUGGAAUUGAGCCCAGGAAACCCAGCCCCUAUUAUCCAAUCCUACCUGGGUACCCACUGUUGAUGUUAGGAGCUGGGUGCUAAAUGUAAGAUAGGGCAUGACAGAAACUAUCCAUAUACAUGUAUAAACAAUCUAAUCAUGCUUAAGUGAAGCUGACUAAAGUUUUUUCAUUGCUCAAAAAUAUGUCGAAAGGAAUGAUUACAUACUGUAUGGUGAGGAGCUUUUGCAAAAUGUUAGCGAUUUAGAGUGUAACCAUGGAGUUUUAUUAUUAUUAUUAUUAUAUUUGUCACGUGAUUUACCAUGAGGCUGGGUAGUCAGAGGGGUAGCCGGGAUCUAAUCAGGAUCGAGCGGACCCAAAUAACCUAUUUUCCAACACAGUCCUUUGAGGUUUCUCUUCGUUUUGUCUUCUUUUUGCUAUCAUACUGCCAAGGUCUCAAUGGUUUCUUGAUAUUUUUGUUUUCUAUAAAAUGAGUUGAAGUUUUCAUGUAUUUUAUCCAAGUUCCAUUUCUAUUUAACGUACAAAACAUGAAAUAUAAUUACCGGUAAUACAAAAUGCCUAAAAUUGAAAAUGAUGAGGGUGAAAUUCAGCAUCUGUUGUCCGACCAGCUCCUGUCUCCUGUGUAACUUGUAUUGGCAAUAUACAGCAGAUUGUGUUCAUGGAUCUGUGGAUCACACUAACAACCCACAUGAAACAAAUCUGUCAUCAUGAAUUAUCAAGUUACAAAAACUUAUGUACAGUAUAUUUCAUUCUUUGUUAUUAAAUUAACCUUUUGUCCACCUUCAGACACCUAGUAUGGUAACUCAGAGUGUGUAGUGGGUCAAUAUUAACGUGACAAGCAUGUUCCCUUUUUUGUUUCCAUCAGUAUAUGCAUUUGAUAUGUGUCAUGUGACUACAGCUGGUUUGGUCUAGAACAAAUCAUUGAAAUGUAUAUACUUGUUUAAUCUUGAUUUAUCAAAAUACACAUCAUGAUAAUAGUCAAUUAUUAAUACGUACAUUGUCUGUGAGGGUCGAAAAGAAAAUUCUUGUCAUUGGUAUAAUCUUGUAUGAUAUAUGUAUGUUGUUUGUGUCAAAAUGAACAUUAUGAUUCUGUUUUUCAAUAUGGCAACAACGAAGAUGGUGGUUUAUAUUUGUGCAGUGAAGUUCCUCAAUCAUGAUUGUGCCAUAUGUCAUAAAAUGCUUCAAUAAUAAGUGCAACCAUGUGUCAUAAAAUGUUUUAACCAUAAUUGCUUCAGUGUGUCAUACUCUGCUUCAAUCAUGAUUGCUCCAUUGUGUAUUGAUAUGUUUCAGUCAUGAUUGCUAUGAUGUGUCUAAAUGUGCUUCAAUCAUUAUUGCUUCUAUGUGUCAAAAUGUGCUUCAAUCAUGAUUGCUUCAUUGUGUCAUAAUGCUUCAACAUGAUUGUUUCAUUGUGUCAAAACAUCCUUUAAUCAUGAUUGCUUCAAUGUAUUAUAAUGUUUCAAUCAUGAUUGCUUCAUUGUGUCAUAAUAUGCUUCUAUCAUGGUUGCUGCAUUGUAUCAUAAUAUGCUUCAAUCAUGAUUGCUUCAAUGUGUCAUAUGAUCCAAGAUACUUUUUUGUGUCAUUAAAUGUUUCAAUCCUAAUUGUUUCCAAGUAUCAUAACAUAUUCAUGUAAUAUAUAUGUUGUCUCAUGAUAUUAGCUUCUAUCACAACUUAAUAUAUGUAAACAUUGAAGAUGUACAUAAUACUUUUAAGAUCUUUUUUGCAACCCUGAGUUUUGGGUGUUGAUUGAGAGGGAGUAUGGUACUUUUUAUAUAAAAACAGCUUUUAGAUAAUUAAAUCAUGACCUCAACCUCAUUUUAAUAUUUCAGGAUUUUUUGACAAAUUUACCUUUUUUAUUGUUUGAUGUUGAUUGACAUGUAACGAUUUGUGGUCACAAAAAGUGGACCCUUGAUGUCUGUUGACCCAGAGUUUAGACAAAGAACAGUUGGGAGUAUGAGUUAAGGUUUUUGUCAUUAUCAAAAUCAUUAUCAGUAAUCAGUAAUUGUUUAUUCAUUCUUGUUUUCAUAUUGGAAUUGUAAAAAAUGUCAUGUUUGGAUAUGUCAACUGAGGGAAUAUUUUUGGAAUGCUUUGAAGUACACAAUGCCAUUUAGUGAGUGGUCAAAUGUAACACGUUAUAUUUGUGUAUUCAUAGCUGUCGGACUUGGGAGCCGUGCCAAUUUGCACUCAUCAGAGGGAUACACGAAGUCUGUGGUCUAGACUACCAGUUGUCCGACUUCCUUUUGUGAAAGUAGCGGUGGCUGAGUGAGCUAGGCGGCUGACUUGGUGUACUGCAUGGUGAUUAGGUGACUGACUCUGAGAGUGUGGGUUCAAAUCCCAGAUGGGACUCAACCCAACAAAAGUACUGGAAUCUGUACUUUACUGAGAAAGUGUAAUCCCAAAUAUAACAUAUGUUACAAGGACCUUGAAGGGUUGAUGAUUGAAAAUAAUACGUUUUAUCACCUGGCCACUUUUUCUAAAUGUCUUGUUGCUCUUAACUGUUUGACAAUGUUUGUGAGGGUGGAUUUUAAAAAAAAGCAUGAUCAAUAAAAAAUGUAAUAUUUUUACCAUAAAUUACAAGCCAUGAUUACUUAGAAAUAUUAGAUAAACAUUUAACGCUCUUGCUUCCCUGGUAAUUAUUGAGGAGGCAUGGAAAGUUAUAUAUUCUGAAAACAUUUUGGGAACAAGACAUUUUUAAAGAAGUGUAAUCAUCACAAACAUGUAUUUGGAGAUGUGUAUUGGAUGUAUUUGUAAUGGGCUGGCCAAUUAAUAUUCAGGGUGGAUGGGUAGGGGAGUGUUAGUUUGGAUUUAUAAAAUAACCUAUGAUUAUCUGAUCCCAAAAAGUUUUGAAAAAAAAGUUGACCACAAAUAAAACAAUAUGUUCCUUCAACAUGAAGAAUAUUUGACAUUAGGAUAUGCUGUGUGUUCAAUGCAAAUGAUUGUUUGGUUCCCCAUUUCACAGAAAACAUUGUAUGUUUUUAAGUUGGUUGUUAUUUUAACGCCACACUCAGCAAUAUUCCAGCUAUAUUGGGGGUAAGUCUUGAAGGGCUGACUGACAAAAUUAUCCCAUUCUCACUGAAUAUUCAAUGCUCAGUUCCAAAGCAUCACAAUUAUAUUUCUUCAGCUGAUAACUAAUAUUAUUCAUCAGGUUUCAUUAGUCCUUAUUCAAACAUUUAAAAGAAAUUUAUGUACCUUUGGAAUGCACAAAUAUGAAGGCAGCCAUGUUUUUGAAAAAUACUUUUUCUUGAAAUGUGCAUGUGUUACGGUGAAAGGGAGUUUAAGGUUUGUGGAACGAACCUACAUUAAUGGAAAUAUUGUUAUAUUUAAUAUAACAAUAUCAAUUUCUUUUGUACAUAGCAACUUAGGGGGUUGUAUCGAGAUGUCAUAUUUGCAAAAAAAGAUAAAUGUUGAAAUACCUCUUUUGAAAAUAAUCAGCUUUUCACAAUGUGCUCUUUUAUUUAGCACCUUUGAGAAACAGUUUGCAUUAUUUAAAGUUAUCAGGGGUUGAUUUGAGAACAAUUAAUAAUUUUCAAAAUCAUUAAAAAUGGUUCGCCUUAUCUUAUAAUUAUUAUUACACUUCUCCCAAGGAGUCAAAGACUACAGAUUCUUUCAUAUUACUUUAUAUGUUCACGCUGCCAUGGUAACCAUAGCAAUAUGAAAGACUCUGGUUGUCAUGAACUUUUGGAGUUGUAUCUCAUAAAAAAGACUUUGCUGAAGCCGGUUUCUACCUUGCUAACUAUAAUUUGUCAAUAUUUGUUUAAGGUGUUUUUUGAAAACAUGCCCCCUAAUAUUUCCUUUUCUUGCUAUUGUGAGCUCAUGAUUGCUAUUUUUAUAUGAAAUUCAUAUCAUAAGUGUAUGUCUACACAAUGUCUAGUGGUAGCUUCACGCUGAUGUCAAACCUGAUUGUCUUUCAGUGAUUUCACAACACUGCAGAUAGUUACACAGCUUAGUGGUGGGCAGUCGUUUCCACAAUAUUCCACUCAAUCUUUCUUGAUGUUGAACAUCAUGGCCAUUGAAUGGCCUCUUGCACAUACAGCUUUUGGUGAUUUGAAACAGUAGAACCGAUAUGUGAUAUAAUCCCUUUACAGUAUAAUAUGUUCGAUGAAAACAGUAUCAGUUUGAAUGAGAAAUAUCUUACAACACCCAAGGAACUGGAAAUCAAUUUUCAAUGACGGACUAAUAUCGCACCUCAGAAACAAUAGUUAUUUGGGGUUAAUUUCGGACAACUGAUUGACAUCACUUACCAGAUUGGUACACUAAACAAUGUAAGUUCCAUCUGAAAAUAUUUUAAACAAAUUCCAUGGACUAAAAUUGUACCUCAGAAUGAUGGUUAUUUGGGAUUAAUUUGGAAUAACCAAUUGACAUCUUUUACCAUAUGCGCACAUGAAAUAAUAUUGGCGCCAUCUGAAAAUGUUUUGAACAAAUUCUAGGGAACCAUUUGCCUUCAAACAACCAGAAGCUCUCGAGGAGGCUGGUUGCAUUGGGUGUUAAUUGUAACACGUUUCAGAGUUUUAUAUGUUGGGUUGUGGGCUUUGUAAGGACAAAUCUUGGCCUGUAGGCCUUAUAGUAUAGCAUUGAUGGGGGUUCCUGACUUCAUCACUUCGGGAUGUCUGUGGAAACGGUUGUCUCAUACAUCCAGGUUCAGUGAAAGGUGUAGAUGGUGGCAUUAAAAAUGCUAGUGGUUUCAUUGCUUACAUUUGGUGCAGAAUUUAGUUGAAUAGAAUGUGUUGCUAUUUUGAGUCGUUGUUGAAUAAAUUGCUUGACAGGA